GGGGAAUAUUGCACAAUGGGCGAAAGCCUGAUGCAGCAACGCCGCGUGAGUGAUGAAGGCCUUCGGGUCGUAAAACUCUGUCCUCAAGGAAGAUAAUGACGGUACUUGAGGAGGAAGCCCCGGCUAACUACGUGCCAGCAGCCGCGGUAAUACGUAGGGGGCUAGCGUUAUCCGGAUUUACUGGGCGUAAAGGGUGCGUAGGCGGUCUUUCAAGUCAGG
rnacentral:rRNA from 1 species